UACGUAGGGGGCAAGCGUUGUCCGGAAUCAUUGGGCGUGAAGAGCUCGUAGGCGGCUCAGUAAGUCGGGUGUGAAACCUCCAGGCUCAACCUGGAGACGCCACCCGAUACUGCUGUGGCUAGAGUCCAGUAGGGGAGUGUGGAAUUCCCGGUGUAGCGGUGAAAUGCGCAGAUAUCGGGAGGAACACCAGCGGCGAAGGCGGCACUCUGGGCUGGUACUGACGCUGAGGAGCGAAAGCGUGGGUAGCAAACAGG
rnacentral:rRNA from 1 species